AGCGAACGCUGGCGGCAGGCCUAACACAUGCAAGUCGAACGAACUCUUCGGAGUUAGUGGCGGACGGGUGAGUAACACGUGGGAACGUGCCUUUAGGUUCGGAAUAACUCAGGGAAACUUGUGCUAAUACCGAAUGUGCCCUUCGGGGGAAAGAUUUAUCGCCUUUAGAGCGGCCCGCGUCUGAUUAGCUAGUUGGUGAGGUAAAGGCUCACCAAGGCGACGAUCAGUAGCUGGUCUGAGAGGAUGAUCAGCCACAUUGGGACUGAGACACGGCCCAAACCCCUACGGGGGGCAGCAGUGGGGAAUCUUGGGAAGUGGGGGAAAGCCUACAGCACCCAGGCCGGGUGAAUGAUGAAGGUUUUAGGAUUGAAAAAUUCUUUCACCGGGGACGAUAAGGAGGGUACCGGGAGAAGAAGCCCGGGCAAACUUGGG
rnacentral:rRNA from 1 species